rnacentral:misc_RNA from 1 species
AACAAGGAGAAGCUUGAAGCCAUGGCUCGGUCCGCUGGUUCCGAUGAUGACAAAGCCGCCAAUGCUGACAAUGUUGACGAGGUAAUUUUUUAUAUUAUGCUGAAUAUUAGCAGUUCAUUUUGUUUCAGGUAAUAUUGUUUUAUGUAAAUAGUUUGGUUUUGGUCAGUGAAACGCUUGAUGGUGUAGGUUUCGGGGUUUGGCUUAGCAUUUGCUAGAUUAGAGAUAAAAUUGAAGAACAGUAGGGAUGGGCUCAGUUUUUAUUUGUAAAUUCAUUUCUAGAGGAUGGGAGUUGCACUUGAACAACGCAGGAAUAGUUGAAUCAGCCUUGAAAAAUGUGGAGUUUGGCUUAGCAUUUCCAAUUGACGCAAAAUUGGAAAUACAUGUACCUAAUAGGUCACAAUGAAAGUUCAUGGGGCCACCAGGCUUUUGAGCCAAAGUUCAAGAGGUGAUUUAUGUAUUUGGCCUUUAGAUAUGAGAAAGGGGGAUUAAAUGACAUGGACUGAAGUGGCAAGAGAUAAUAUAGCAACAAA